UUCCGUAGGGGAACCUGCGGAGGGAUCAUUACAGWRGUUGCAAAACCCCCGAACCCGUGUCAACGUACCCGACCACAGUUGCUUCGGCAGGCGGCCCCAGGGCGGGGCCCCGGGCCCUCGCGGGUGCCUGCCGGAGUCGACACACACGAAACUCUUGUCUCCCAGUGGGUCAUCUCUGAGCACGACGUACGGAAUAAGUCAAAACUUUCAACAACGGAUCUCUUGGUUCUGGCAUCGAUGAAGAACGCAGCGAAAUGCGAUAAGUAAUGUGAAUUGCAGAAUUCAGUGAAUCAUCGAAUCUUUGAACGCACAUUGCGCCCAUUAGUAUUCUAGUGGGCAUGCCUGUUCGAGCGUCAUUUCAACCCUCAAGCCCCGCUUGGUGUUGGGGACCUACGGUGCUUAACCGUAGCCCCCGAAAGACAGUGGCUGGCCCGCCGGGACCCUGAGCGUAGUACUUGCUUCUCGCUUCUGGAGCCCGCCGGGACCACGCCGUAAAACCCCCCACCCGAACCUCAAGGUUGACCUCGGAUCAGGUARGAAWACCCGCURAACYUAAGCAUAUCAAAAGGCGGGAGGAAA
rnacentral:rRNA from 1 species